CCUACGGGAGGCAGCAGUAGGGAAUAUUGCUCAAUGGGGGAAACCCUGAAGCAGCAACGCCGCGUGGAGGAUGAAGGUUUUCGGAUUGAAAACUCCUUUUGUUAGAGAAGAGAAUGACGGUAUCUAACGAAUAAGCACCGGCUAACUCCGUGCCAGCAGCCGCGGUAAUAUGGAGGGUGCAAGCGUUACUCGGAAUCACUGGGCGUAAAGAGCGCGUAGGCGGGAUAGCAAGUCAGAUGUGAAAUCCUCUGGCUUAACCAUAGAACUGCAUUUGAAACUGUUAUUCUAGAGUGUGGGAGAGGUAGAUGGAAUUCUUGGUGUAGGGGUAAAAUGCGUAGAGAUCAAGAGGAAUACUCAUUGCGAAGGCGACCUGCUAGACCAUAACUGACGCUGAUGCGCGAAAGCGUGGGGAGCAAACAGGAUUAGAUACCCCAGUAGUC
rnacentral:rRNA from 1 species